rnacentral:tRNA from 5 species
GGCUUCGUGGCCUAGUGGUUAUGGCAUCCCACUCGUAAUGGGGGGGUCCCGCGUUCAAAUCGCGGCGGAGCCA